GGUUUUUUAGCGAUUUUUAAAAUAACAGUUUUUUCUGCUGAGUCGGUCCAAUCCGGUUGUCAGAACAUUGCUACCACCACCUCCUGCACCACCCACCACUACCACUAACCCCAUCCCUAAAUCACAUUCAUCUUUGUUUUUAUCUCUUUCUUCUUCACAAUUUUCCUCUUCCUCAACUCAUUCUGCACACUCUCCUCCAUAAUCUAACAUUUACACCGUUCAACUACAAUAAUAAUAUUUACAUAGUUCAGCAACAACAAUUGUAUGCAUUUUUUAAAAAAAUAAAAAAAUAGAUAUGAAGAUAGAAAAGAAGAAAUAGAGAGAAGAUGAGAGGGGCGGCUGAGAAGAAAAAGAAAAAAAAAACAGAGUGGUGGGGUAGAUGAGAAAAUAGAAGAGAAAAGAAAAAUAAAAGGAGAAAAGGGGAGUUCACUAGAGAAGAGGAAGAAGAAACUCGUUAGUGAUGAAAGCAACGAGUUACAGAGAGCACAGAGAAGAUAGUGGUCAAUAGUGUUGGAUAUUCGACGGCAAGCGUCGCAACUGAAGGAGGAAGAAGUGGUGGUCGUGUGGUGCUACCAAUGAUGAAGAAGAACAGAGGGAUGAUGAUGAUCUUGUUGUCGUUGGAGUUGUUGUUGUCACCAUAGAGAAAACAAAAGAAAGAAAAGAACAAAAAGGGAGAAGGUGAAGAUUAAAGAAGAGAAGUAAAGGAAGAAGAAGAAAAGGGAUGACAAAACAGGUGAAGAAGAAGGUUUGAAUAGAGAGUGAGAAAGUGAUAGAAUUAGAGAGGCUCUUAAGGGAGGAGAAAGAGAAAGAGGAUUUGCGGAUGAAGAAGAAGAGGGUCUGAUGAUGAUAGGAUUUAGGGUCAAACAAAGAGACUUUAUUCAAAAUUUAGCCCCUCAAGGUCGCAACUUUAAAGCCAAUGGUCAAUAUCAGCGCCAAAAUGGGAAUCAAUAGAAUGGUGAUUUUCUUGCUCAUAACAACAACAACAACCAUAACUAUUUUCUGGGACAGGAACGAGGAGGUGAACCUCAGGGUAUUUUGGUAUGCUCAAGUUGUGGGAAAAAUCAUGGUAACAGACCUUGUCAGUAUAGAACAAACAAUUGUUAUGCUUGUGGAGAACCUGGACAUAUGGCCAGGGCUUUUCCAAACAGGUUUGUUUAAGAUCCAGCUAGAACCCAACGAUUAGGAUGAAUAUCUGCCAUGACUGUUGAUGAUGCUCUGUACUCAGACUCCGUGAUCUAAGGAGGAAAAGUGCUUAAGGACCACCUAAGAGCAUAACCGAAUUUGGAGCAGCAAAACAAGAUGGAAGCAAGAGUACCUUUUCGUAGUUCGUUGAUGAUCGUUUCGCAAAGAGAAUUCUGCUCUAGGUAGCCUUCUGAGUCUAGAGUGAACUCCGUUAUCUGUUUAUAUGUAUAUACUAUGAGACCAGCCAACGUCUGCAGCCCGUUUGUAUGCGAGCUUUAACCUAAAUCCUGUGUACGAAACUCCUGUUAUGUGGUUACUUGAUGAGGUACCAGAGAGACGUCAUAUGACAAUGUCUGAUCGUGCAGAGGAGUAGUAGAUUAUGUUCCACCUUUUGAUGACGUUCCACCUGACUUGAGUUUUGAAGACUUAGAACGAACUUUCCCUCGCUUUAGUAGUUUAGAGGGAUUAUGUGAGUAUAGAGUUUAGGCUAGCCUGGGCGCCAACUUAGGAACUUCUUGAACAAGUCAGGGCCUGGGAUGUUGUAUGUAUAUAUAUGUAUAUAGUUAUUAUCUAGCUAUAUAUAGAGGUGUUCUAACUAAAAGUCUAUACUCUAA